CAUGUUUGCUUUAUCUACAUUAGAUACCGCUUGUUUGGUGUAAUUAAUAAGUGUAGGUAGGGUGGAUGAUUUUGCCCCUUUAAGACCUUUAACUGUGUUCCAAACUGUUUUUACGUUAAUUUUAUAAUUUAGUGUGUCACAGAAAUUUUGCCAGUAGUCAGUUUUUGCCUUAUCUGUGACACGUUUAAACUCCUUGACUGCAGUUUUAUAUAAUUCAUGAUUUUC
rnacentral:lncRNA from 1 species